rnacentral:rRNA from 1 species
UCCGCAAUGCGUGCAAGCGCGACGGAGUGACCCCCAGUGCCGAUGGUCUAACGAUCGUCGGCUUUUCUGGAGUGUAAAAAGCUCUGGGUAAUAAGGGCCGGGUAAGACUGGUGCCAGCCGCCGCGGUAACACCAGCGGCUCAAGUGGUAGUCGAUUUUAUUGGGUCUAAAGCGUCCGUAGCCGGAUCGUCAAGUCCCUUGUGAAAUCGGGCGGCUUAACCGCUCGGCUUGCAAGAGAAACUGACGUUCUUGGGGUCGGCAGGCGCCGAGGGUACUCCGGAGGUAGCGGUGAAAUGCUAUAAUCUUCGGGGGACCGCCGGUGGCGAAAGCGCUCGGCGGGGCCGAACCCGACGGUGAGGGACGAAGGCCAGGGGAGCGAACCGGAUUAGAUACCCGGGUAGUCCUGGCUGUAAAGUAUGUGGGCCAGGUGCCAGACGUUCCUCGAGAGCGCUUGGUGCCGAAGGGAAGCCGUUAAGCCCACCACCUGGGGAGUACGGUCGCAAGACUGAAACUUAAAGAAAUUGGCGGGGGAGCACCACAAGGGGUGGAGCCUGCGGUUUAAUUGGAUUCAACGCCGGACAUCUCACCGGGGGCGACGGCAGAGUGAAGGCCAAGUUGACGACUUUGCCGGACUCGCCGAGAGGUGGUGCAUGGCCGCCGUCAGCUCGUAUCGUGAGACGUCCUGUCAAGUCAGGUAACGAGCGAGACCCUUAUCCUUAGUUGCCAGCGGAUCCCUCUGGGAUGCCGGGCACUCUAAGGAGACCGCUGUCGAUAAGGCAGAGGAAGGAGAGGGCGACGGUAGGUCCGUAUGCCCCGAAUCCCCCGGGCAACACGCGGGCUACAAUGCGCGGGACAGAGGGCUGCGACCCCGAGAGGGGAAGCCGAUCCCUAAACCUGCGCCUAGUUCGGAUCGAGGGCUGCAACUCGCCCUCGUGAAGCUGGAAUCCCUAGUAAUCGCGUGUCACUAUCGCGCGGUGAAUACGUCCCUGCUCCUUGCACACACCAAGC